GUUUGGUCCCUAUCUGCAGUGGGCGUUGGAAGUUUGAGGGGGGCUGCUCCUAGUACGAGAGGACCGGAGUGGACGCACCUCUGGUGUACCGGUUGUCACGCCAGUGGCAUCGCCGGGUAGCUAAGUGCGGAAGAGAUAACCGCUGAAAGCAUCUAAGCGGGAAACUCGCCUCAAGAUGGGACUUCCCGGGGACUCGAUCCCCCUGAAGGGUCGUGGAAGACCACCACGUUGAUAGGCCGGAUGUGGAAGCGCAGUAAUGCGUUAAGCUAACCGGUACUAAUUGCCCGUGCGGCUUGAUCCUAUAACCUU
rnacentral:rRNA from 1 species